rnacentral:rRNA from 1 species
UACGGGGGGGGCAAGCGUUGUUCGGAAUUACUGGGCGUAAAGGGCGCGUAGGCGGCCUAGUAAGUCGGACGUGAAAUCCCUCGGCUCAACCGAGGAACUGCGUCCGAUACUGGCGAGGCUUGAAUUCGGGAGAGGGAUGUGGAAUUCCAGGUGUAGCGGUGAAAUGCGUAGAUAUCUGGAGGAACACCGGUGGCGAAGGCGGCAUCCUGGACCGAGAUUGACGCUGAGGCGCGAAAGCUAGGGUAGCAAACGGG